AACGAACGCUGGCGGCAGGCCUAACACAUGCAAGUCGAGCGAGGACUUCGGUUCUAGCGGCGGACGGGUGAGUAACGCGUGGGAAUGUGCCCUUCUCUACGGAAUAGUCCUGGGAAACUGGGAGUAAUACCGUAUACGCCCUUUUGGGGAAAGAUUUAUCGGAGAAGGAUCAGCCCGCGUUGGAUUAGGUAGUUGGUGGGGUAAUGGCCUACCAAGCCGACGAUCCAUAGCUGGUUUGAGAGGAUGAUCAGCCACACUGGGACUGAGACACGGCCCAGACUCCUACGGGAGGCAGCAGUAGAGAAUCUUAGACAAUGGGGGCAACCCUGAUCUAGCCAUGCCGCGUGAGUGAUGAAGGCCUUAGGGUUGUAAAGCUCUUUCAGCUGGGAAGAUAAUGACGGUAACAGCAGAAGAAGCCCCGGCUAACUCCGUG
rnacentral:rRNA from 1 species